rnacentral:sRNA from 1 species
ACUUAGAUUUGGUAGAACAGCUGCAAUGAGGUUUUGGCUGACUAUUUUAGAUUUGUAGUAGGGUUUAGGGUUUAGGGUGUAGAGGGUUUAGUUUUGAAAAUCUUAUAUAAUAAGAGAAGGUUUUUCCUAACUUUGCCUACUAAUGCGACAUUUGGCACUCUACUUUGAUGACACAUGUACUUAUCAUUAAUUGUAGUUUGACUAAAAUAAUUUA